GAUGAACGCUAGCGGCAGGCCUAAUACAUGCAAGUCGGACGGGAUUCAGGAGCUUGCUUCUGAUGAGAGUGGCGCACGGGUGCGUAACACGUAUGUAACCUACCUUUAUCAGGGGGAUAGCCUCUCGAAAGAGAGAUUAAGCCCGCAUAAAAUCACAGCACAGCAUUGUGUAAUGAUCAAAUAUUUAUAGGAUAAAGAUGGGCAUGCGGAACAUUAGCUAGAUGGCGGGGUAACGGCCCACCAUGGCGACGAUGUUUAGGGGAUCUGAGAGGAUGGCCCCCACACUGGUACUGAGACACGGACCAGACUCCUACGGGAGGCAGCAGUAAGGAAUAUUGGUCAAUGGGCGGAAGCCUGAACCAGCCAUGCCGCGUGCAGGAAGACGGCCCUACGGGUUGUAAACUGCUUUUAUACGGGAAUAAACCCAGAUACGUGUAUCUGGCUGAAUGUACUGUAAGAAUAAGGAUCGGCUAACUCCGUG
rnacentral:rRNA from 1 species